GUCAGGAGAGGGUGUGUGCAGUAUGGGGUGGAGAGAAAGAAUAUUUGCCCUCCAAGCUAUCCCAAGUAUAAAUAUGUAAAUGAUAAAGUUGGCAGAUAUAAGCUGGGUUCUUAAGAUUACUAAGAAAGCCUCACCUCCUUUUUUUUUUUUUUUUUUUUUUCUUUCCUGGAGAAAUUGGAGGUUAGAAUUUCAGUGAGAUAUAACCCCUGUUGAUAGCUGUCUCACUGCCUUGGUGGCUAUUAUUUGCCUUGUUGGUUUGUGGCAAUUGCUCCAUCCAUAUGAUUGGAUAACCUGUCACUUUCUAUGUGCAUGAUAAAUGUGGAAAUAUGUAUAGAAGAAUUGUACAUGUCUAACAUAUAUUGGAUUGCUUGUUAUCAAAGGGAAAGAAUGGGGAGGCAGAGGAAGAAAAAUUUGGAACACAAGGUUUUGCAAGGAAUUUUGCCAGAAAUCAAUCAUCAGGCUAGGCUUCUGUGCUAAAAUAAAAAUGGGAGGAAUUUUGGGAGAAUAUCUUGGCAUCUCACCCUAGAUUUGGAAGACGGAAAAGUGAAUUUCAGCGCUCCAAAAAAGAACAGUUAUACAUGUACAUUCAUUAAAAAAAAAAUUGCCUUAUGAAUCAUGGUAAGAGAGAAAAAUCAGAAGAAAAGGGAAAAACCACAAAAGAAAAAAAAACAGAAGAAAAAAAAUGAGCAGAGCAUGUGUUGAUUUACAUUCAGUGUCUAUAGUUUUCUCUCUGGAUGCAGAUGGCAUUUUCCAUUUAGAAUUUAUUGGACUUUUCUUGGGUCACUGAAUUGCUGAGAAGACCAAGUUUUUCAUAGUUUAUCAUCGCACAGUCUUACUGUUAAGUGUACAAUGUAAACUUGCUCAGCAACAGUUUGUGUAAAUCUUUCUAGAUCUUUCUGAAAUCAGCUUGUGGGAAGGAAUGUGGGAAAAUUGGGACACUAAUUCAUUCUUGGUGGAGUUGUGAACUGAUCCAGCCAUUCUGGAGAGCAAUUUGGGACUAUGCCUAAAGGGCUAUCAAACUGUGUAUAUCCUUUGACCCAGCAAUAUUUCUACUGGGUUUAGAAAUUAUAAAGGAGGGAAAGAGACCCACAUGUGCAAAAAUGUUUGCACCUGUUUUUGUAGUGACAAGAAACUGGAAACUGAGUUUCCAGUUGGAGAAUGACUAAGUUAUAGUAUAUGAAUGUUAUAGAAUAUUGUUCUGUAAGAAAUGAUCAGCAGGAUGAUUUCAGAGAGGCCUGGAGAGACUUACAUGCCCUGAUGCUAAGUGAAAUGAGCAGAACCAGGAGAGCAUUAUACACAGCAACAACAAGAUUAUAAGAUGAUCAAUUCUGAUGGAUGUGGCUCUUUUCAAUAAUGAGAUGAUUCAGAUCAGUUCCAAUGAUCUUGUGAUGAAGAGAGCCAACUACACCCAGAAAAAGGACUGUGGGAACUGAGUGUGGACCACAACAUAGCAUUUUUACUCUUUUUGUUGUUUCCUUGCAUCUUGUUUUCUUUCUCAUUUUUCCCUUUUUGAUCUGAUUUUUCUUCUAUAGCAAGAUAAUUGCAUAAAUAUGUAUACAUAUAUUGGAUUUAACAUACAUUUUUAACAUGUUUAACAUAUAUUAAAUUUCUUGUGGAGGGAAGAAGGGGUGGGGAGAAGAAGGAAUGGGGGAAAAUUUGGAACACAAGGUUUUGCA